UUCCGGUUGAUCCUGCCGGACCCCACUGCUAUCGGGAUAGGACUAAGACAUGCUAGUCACAAUAGGAGAGUGCGGCGCACAGCUCAGUAACACGUGGCUAACCUGCCCUUGGGAUAGGGACAACCCCGGGAAACUGGGGCUAAUCCCCAAUAGGUGAAGUGCUCUGGAAUGAGCCUUCGCCCGAAAGGCCAAGCUCCCGAGGAUGGGGCCGCGACCGAUCAGGUAGUUGGUGAGGCAACGGCUCACCAAGCCUUUAACGGUGCGGGCCGUGGGAGCGGGAGCCCGGAGAUGGGCACUGAGACAAGGGCCCAGGCCCUACGGGGCGCAGCAGUCGCGAAAACUUUGCAAUACACGAAAGUGUGACAGGGCUAUCCCGAGUGCCAUCCGCUGAGGAAGGCUUUUACCCAGUGUAGAAAGCUGGGGGAAUAAGGAGAGGGCAAGAUCUGGUGUCAGCCGCCGCGGUAAUACCAGCUCUCCGAGUGGUGGGGAUACUUAUUGGGCCUAAAGCAUCCGUGGCCUGCUGGGCAAGUCCUCCGUUAAAUCCAGCGAUUUAAUCGUUGGGCUGCGGGGGAUACUGUUCGGCUAGGGGGCGAGAGAGGCCGACGGUAGUCCAGGGGUAGGGGUGAAAUCCUAUAAUCCUUGGAGGACCACCAGUGGCGAAGGCGGUCGACUAGAACGUGCCUGACGGUGAGGGACGAAAGCUGGGGGAGCAAACCGGAUUAGAUACCCGGAUAGUCCCAGCUGUAAACGAUGCGGGCUAGGUGUUGGGGUGGCCACGAGCCACUUCAGUGCCGCAGGGAAGCCAUUAAGCCCGCCGCCUGGGGAGUACGGCCGCAAGGCUGAAACUUAAAGGAAUUGGCGGGGGAGCACCACAAGGGGUGAAGCUUGCGGUUCAAUUGGAUUCAACGCCGGA
rnacentral:rRNA from 1 species